CUCCUUUGAAAAGCACUCACUGGACCUUUCGCUAAUGACCCACUGAGCUGUCAAGAAAGGGCAGAGCGGAACACUGCUUCUGGGUGAAGUGGCAACAUGUCCUGUUGCUUCGCUUCAGGCGGUGGCGUGACAAGG